UAAGGAAUAUUGCUCAAUGGGAGAAAUCCUGAAGCAGCAACGCCGCGUGGAGGAUGAAGGGUCUAUGACUUGUAAACUCCUGUAAAGAAGGAAAAAAUUCCCAUUUGAUGGGAGAUGAUGGUACUUCUGGAGUAAGCCCCGGCUAACUACGUGCCAGCAGCCGCGGUAAUACGUAGGGGGCAAGCGUUGUCCGGAUUUACUGGGUGUAAAGGGUGCGCAGGCGGACCGAUAAGUCGGGGGUUAAAUCCAUGUGCUUAACACAUGCACGGCUUCCGAUACUGUCGGUCUAGAGUCUCGAAGAGGAAGGUGGAAUUUCUGGUGUAACGGUGGAAUGUGUAGAUAUCGGAAAGAACACCAGUGGCGAAGGCAGCCUUCUGGUCGAGAACUGACGCUCAUGCACGAAAGCGUGGGGAGCAAACA
rnacentral:rRNA from 1 species